AGAGUUUGAUCCUGGCUCAGAACGAACGCUGGCGGCGUGGAUAAGACAUGCAAGUCGAACGGAUUUACCUGAGUAGCAAUACAAGGGUAGAUCAGUGGCGCAAGGGUGCGUAACACGUGGGCAACCUGCCCUGGAGACUGGGAUAGCCCGCCGAAAGGCGGAUUAAUACCGGAUGCGGCUACCGAAGGAUUCUUCGGGACGCUAAAGGUGGCGCAAGCUACCGCUCCUGGAUGGGCCCGCGGCCUAUCAGCUAGUUGGUGGGGUUACGGCUCACCAAGGCGAUGACGGGUAGCUGGUCUGAGAGGACGACCAGUCACACUGGAACUGAGACACGGUCCAGACACCUACGGGUGGCAGCAGUCGAGAAUUUUUCUCAAUGGGGGAAACCCUGAAGGAGCGACGCCGCGUGGAGGAUGAAGGUCUUCGGAUUGUAAACUCCUGUCAUUGGUGAACAAGAUUUUGCCGUUAACUGCGGUGGAAUUUGAUAGUAGCCGAAGAGGAAGGGACGGCUAACUCUGUGCCAGCAGCCGCGGUAAUACAGAGGUCCCGAGCGUUGUUCGGAUUCAUUGGGCGUAAAGGGUGCGUAGGCGGCGGGGAAAGUCUGAUGUGAAAUCCUGGGGCUCAACCCUGGAACUGCAUUGGAUACUUCCUUGCUAGAGUACUGGAGAGGAAACUGGAAUUUACGGUGUAGCAGUGAAAUGCGUAGAGAUCGUAAGGAAGACCAGUGGCGAAGGCGAGUUUCUGGACAGUUACUGACGCUGAGGCACGAAGGCCAGGGGAGCAAACGGGAUUAGAUACCCCGGUAGUCCUGGCAGUAAACGGUGCAUGUUUGGUGUGGGAGGAAUCGACCCCUUCCGUGCCGGAGCUAACGCGUUAAACAUGCCGCCUGGGGAGUACGGUCGCAAGAUUAAAACUCGAAGAAAUUGACGGGGGCCCGCACAAGCGGUGGAGUAUGUGGCUUAAUUCGAUGCAACGCGAAGAACCUUACCUAGGCUUGACAUGCAUCUCUAAGUCGGUGAAAGCCGGCGAGUCCCGCAAGGGACAAUUUGCACAGGUGCUGCAUGGCUGUCGUCAGCUCGUGUCGUGAGAUGUUGGGUUAAGUCCCGCAACGAGCGCAACCCCUGUGGCCUGUUGCCCCCUACCCUUGUGGUAGAGCACUCUGGCCGGACUGCCCUGUGAAACGGGGAGGAGGGUGGGGAUGACGUCAAGUCAGCAUGGCCCUUACGCCUAGGGCUGCACACGUACUACAAUGCUCAGUACAGAAUGAACCGAGACCGCGAGGUGGAGGAAAUCAAAGAAAACUGAGCUCAAUUCGGAUCGCAGGCUGCAACUCGCCUGCGUGAAGCCGGAAUCGCUAGUAAUGGCGCAUCAGCUACGGCGCCGUGAAUACGUUCCCGGGCCUUGUACACACCGCCCGUCACAUCAUGGGAGUCGCUUGUACCCGAAGCCGUCCUUCACCGGCCGUCUAAGGUAUGAGCGGUAACUGGGAUGAAGUCGUAACAAGGUA
rnacentral:rRNA from 1 species